UCAGCUCGUGUCGUGAGAUGUUGGGUUAAGUCUCGCAACGAGCGCAACCCUUACGUUUAGUUGCUAACGCGUGAAGGCGAGCACUCUAGACGAACUGCCGUUGACAAAACGGAGGAAGGUGGGGAUGACGUCAAAUCAUCAUGCCCCUUAUGUUCUGGGCUACACACGUGCUACAAUGGCCGGUACAGACGGACGCAAAGCCGCGAGGUGGAGCAAAUCCUAAAAAGCCGGUCUCAGUUCGGAUUGCAGGCUGCAAUUCGCCUGCAUGAAGUCGGAAUCGCUAGUAAUCGCAGGUCAGCAUACUGCGGUGAAUACGUUCCCGGGCCUU
rnacentral:rRNA from 1 species